GACGAACGCUGGCGGCGUGCUUAACACAUGCAAGUCGAGCGGUAAGGCCCUUUCGGGGGUACACGAGCGGCGAACGGGUGAGUAACACGUGGGUGACCUGCCCUUAGCUCUGGGAUAAGCCUGGGAAACGUGGGUCUAAUACCGGAUAUGACUCCAUGACGCAUGUUGUGGGGUGGAAAGCCUUGUGCGGCUAGGGAUGGGCCCGCGGCCUAUCAGCUUGUUGGUGGGGUGAUGGCCACCAAGGCGACGACGGGUAGCCGGCCUGAGAGGGUGAUCGGCCACACUGGGACUGAGACACGGCCCAGACUCCUACGGGAGGCAGCAGUGGGGAAUCUUGCGCAAUGGGCGAAAGCCUGACGCAGCGACG
rnacentral:rRNA from 1 species